rnacentral:rRNA from 1 species
UACGUAGGGCGCAAGCGUUGUCCGGAAUUAUUGGGCGUAAAGAGCUCGUAGGCGGCUUGUCGCGUCGAUUGUGAAAGCCCGGGGCUUAACUCCGGGUCUGCAGUCGAUACGGGCAGGCUAGAGUGUGGUAGGGGAGAUCGGAAUUCCUGGUGUAGCGGUGAAAUGCGCAGAUAUCAGGAGGAACACCGGUGGCGAAGGCGGGAUCCUGGGCCAGUACUGACGCUGAGGAGCGAAAGCGUGGGGAGCAAACAGG